rnacentral:rRNA from 1 species
GAUGAUACUAAGCCAUGCGAGUCAUUGUAGCAAUACAAGGCAGACGGCUCAGUAACGCGUAGUCAAUCUACCCUAUGGACGGGAAUAACCUCGGGAAACUGAGAAUAAUGCCCGAUAGAACAUUAUACCUGGAACGGUUUAUGUUUCAAAUGAUUUAUCGCCGUAGGAUGGGACUGCGGCCUAUCAGUUUGUUGGUGAGGUAAUGGCCCACCAAGACUAUUACAGGUACGGGCUCUGAGAGGAGUAGCCCGGAGAUGGGUACUGAGACACGGACCCAGGCCCUAUGGGGCGCAGCAGGCGAGAAAACUUUGCAAUGUGCGAAAGCACGACAAGGUUAAUCCGAGUGGUUUCUGCUAAAGAAACCUUUUGCUAGUCCUAGAAACACUAGUGAAUAAGGGGUGGGCAAGUUCUGGUGUCAGCCGCCGCGGUAAAACCAGCACCUCAAGUGGUCAGGAUGAUUAUUGGGCCUAAAGCAUCCGUAGCCCGUUUUGUAAGUUUUCGGUUAAAUCCAUACGCUCAACGUAUGGGCUGCCGGGAAUAUUGCAUAACUAGGAAGUGGGAGAGGUAGACGGUACUCGGUAGGAAGGGGUAAAAUCCUUUGAUCUAUUGAUGACCACCUGUGGCGAAGGCGGUCUACCAGAACACGUUCGACGGUGAGGGAUGAAAGCUGGGGGAGCAAACCGGAUUAGAUACCCGGGUAGUCCCAGCUGUAAACUAUGCAAACUCAGUGAUGCAUUGGCUUGUGGCCAAUGCAGUGCUGCAGGGAAGCCGUUAAGUUUGCCGCCUGGGAAGUACGUACGCAAGUAUGAAACUUAAAGGAAUUGGCGGGGGAGCACCACAAGGGGUGAAGCCUGCGGUUCAAUUGGAGU